CAGCUCCCCCUUUUCUUCAGCAAAACAACGACAACAACACAGCAAACCACCGCACAACAACAGCAAAAGUCAACCCAAAAUACAACGGCAAAACCAGAAACAGUGUGCAAGCAGCAACAGCAGCACGUACAACGCCCGCUAACAACAAAAAUUCAACACAAACCCCUUAAAUCACGCAAACCCCUCUCUCUCCAUCUUAUCUCUGCAAUUUUUAGCUUGAUUGUUGACUUUGGAAUUCUUUUAUUUCUUGCCAAAAUCUGAUCUAAAUCAGGUGUAAUAAACUCAAAUCCGGAUUUUUGGGGUAUGUCUUCCCCCACUAGUGUUUUUCUUCAAUUUGCUCAAUCAAUUUGAGAGACCCUGCUCAAAAGGCUAUUUGGGGAACUAAAAUCAAUAUUUCCCCUAUAAAUAGACGUUGAGGGGAAGAAGAAAAAGAAGGGGAUUUUAGGGAAAAAUUUGGAGGUUCGGGAGGCGCACGCUUCUAACCUCACGCAACCAAAAUUCUCAAAGAACACACUCGAAAAAGUUGAUUCCGAUGAAAGAUUAAAAUUCUGACGAACCAAAAUUGAAACAUCGUUGGAAAAGGUCCGGCGUAAUAGGCUUGUUCGUCCCAGUAUCGCUGCCCAAAAAUAGCUGAUCGAUCUUAUAGCUUCUCCCUCUUGUUGACCUGCUACUUUCAUCUUACUAAGUGACAUAUACUAAUAUACAUGGCUGAAAAUACUACAACUGAUGAGGCAGUGCCAGUGAUCCUAGGCAAUGAAAGCACUAAUUCACAUAUUGCGCGUCAAACACAUUCUGUUCAGACGACGGUAAAGAAAGAAAGAAAGAAAGAAAGAAAAGUCUCGUGCAUGGAAUCAUUUUGAAUUAUUUGUUGAUGAGGAAGGAAAUAAGAAAUCAAGGUGUAAGCAUUGUGGUCAAGAUUAUUUUGCCGAUUCAAAUAAAAAUGGUACCACGACAAUGCUUACUCAUUUGUUAACAUGUUCAAAGAUGCCUCGAAAUCAAACUGUUGACAAAAAUCAAACCGAAAUAGGCUUUCAAUCUGUUCAGGGGGGUGUUGCGGGUGAUGUUGUUGUUGUUUUGUGGAAAUUUGAGCAAGAACAAUGUAGGAGAGCUUUAUGUCGCUUGGUGACUGUGGAUGAACUCCCCUUCAAGUUUGUUGAGAAGGAAGGUUUUAGAAACUUUAUGAAAGUAGUGCAACCUCAUUUUAAGAUUUCUUCUCGUAACACUGUGACAUGUGACUGUUUUAAAUUAUUUGAUGAAGAGAAACAAAAGUUGAAGAGGUCUUUUAGAGACGCCCAACAAAGAGUCUGUCUUACCACUGAUACUUAGACCUCUUUGCAGCGAAUUAAUUAUAUGUGCAUCACUGCACAUUAGAUAGACAGUAAAUGGAUUAUGCACAAGAGAAUAAUUAACUUUUGUCCAAUUACUAGUCACAGAGGUGAAGACAUGGCUAAUGAGACUAGUAAGUGUUUACGUGAUUGGGGCAUCGAUAAAAUUUUUACUAUCACAGUUGAUAAGUCUAGUUCGAACAACGUGACUGAGAAAGAGUUAGCUAAGAUAUUCACUAAACGGGGAACCAAUUUCAUGAAUGGAGAACACCUUCAUGUAAGGUGUAUGGCUCACAUUAUUAAUCUCAUUGUCCAAGAUGGUUUGAAAGUGACUAGUGUGUCCAUUAAAAAGGUUAGAAAAGAAGUGAAAUACAUAAGGCAGUCCGCUGCAAGGUGUAAGAGGUUCCAAGAAUGUUGUGAAGAUGUUGAUAUCAAUAGUAAAAAAUCGUUAUGUUUGGAUGUUUCUACGAGGUGGAACUCUACAUAGUUGAUGUUGAAUAGG